UACAGAGGGUGCGAGCGUUGUCCGGAAUCACUGGGCGUAAAGGGCGCGUAGGUGGCGCGACAAGUCAGUGGUGAAAGCUCGAUGCUUAACAUCGAGUCGGCCACUGAUACUGUUGGGCUUGAGCACUGUAGAGGCUAAUGGAAUUCCGGGUGUAGCGGUGAAAUGCGUAGAGAUGUGGAGGAACACCAGUGGCGAAGGCGACUCUCUGGUCUGUAACUGACGCUGAGGCGCGAAAGCGUGGGGAGCGAACAGG
rnacentral:rRNA from 1 species